UGCAAUNGUGUCACUACACAACUUCCAGC
rnacentral:piRNA from 1 species